UACGUAGGGUGCGAGCGUUAAUCGGAAUUACUGGGCGUAAAGCGUGCGCAGGCGGUUAUGUAAGACAGGUGUGAAAUCCCCGGGCUUAACCUGGGAACUGCAUUUGUGACUGCAUAGCUAGAGUACGGUAGAGGGGGAUGGAAUUCCGCGUGUAGCAGUGAAAUGCGUAGAUAUGCGGAGGAACACCGAUGGCGAAGGCAAUCCCCUGGCGACCUCG
rnacentral:rRNA from 1 species